rnacentral:rRNA from 1 species
CCACGGGAGGCUGCAGUGGGGAAUAUUGGACAAUGGGCGAAAGCCUGAUCCAGCCAUGCCGCGUGUGUGAAGAAGGCCUUCGGGUUGUAAAGCACUUUCAGUGGGGAAGAAAGCCUUGGGGCUAAUACCCUCGAGGAAGGACAUCACCCACAGAAGAAGCACCGGCUAACUCCGUGCCAGCAGCCGCGGUAAUACGGAGGGUGCGAGCGUUAAUCGGAAUUACUGGGCGUAAAGCGCGCGUAGGCGGUCUGAUAAGCCGGUUGUGAAAGCCCCGGGCUCAACCUGGGAACGGCAUCCGGAACUGUCAGGCUAGAGUGCAGGAGAGGAAGGUAGAAUUCCCGGUGUAGCGGUGAAAUGCGUAGAGAUCGGGAGGAAUACCAGUGGCGAAGGCGGCCUUCUGGACUGACACUGACGCUGAGGUGCGAAAGCGUGGGUAGCAAACAGGAUUAGAUACCCGAGUCGUC